rnacentral:rRNA from 1 species
UACAGAGGGGGCAAGCGUUGUUCGGAAUUACUGGGCGUAAAGGGCGCGUAGGCGGCCUUCUAAGUCGAACGUGAAAUCCCUGGGCUCAACCCAGGAACUGCGUCCGAUACUGGAAGGCUUGAAUCCGGGAGAGGGAUGCGGAAUUCCAGGUGUAGCGGUGAAAUGCGUAGAUAUCAGAAGGAACAUCAGUGGCGAAAGCGGCUUCCUGGACCAGAACUGACGAUCAGGCACGAAAGCGUGGGGAGCAAACAGG